UCUCCGUUGGUGAACCAGCGGAGGGAUCAUUACUGAGUUACCGCUCUACAACCCUUUGUGAACAUACCUAACUGUUGCUUCGGCGGGCAGAGGUCCCUCGCGGAUCUCUCCCGGCAACGCCCUCACGGGCGGAGCGCCCGCCGGAGGAUACCAAACUCUAUUUUAACGACGUUUCUUCUGAGUGGCACAAGCAAAUAAUUAAAACUUUUAACAACGGAUCUCUUGGUUCUGGCAUCGAUGAGGAACGCAGC
rnacentral:misc_RNA from 1 species